rnacentral:rRNA from 1 species
ACUCCUACGGGAGGCAGCAGUGGGGAAUAUUGCACAAUGGGCGCAAGCCUGAUGCAGCCAUGCCGCGUGUAUGAAGAAGGCCUUCGGGUUGUAAAGUACUUUCAGUCAGUGAGGAAGGUGGUAUGUUAAUAGACAUACNCAUUUGACGUUAGCUGCAGAAGAAGACAACCGCGUAACUCCGUGCCAGCAGCCGCGGUAAUACGGAGGGUGCGAGCGUUAAUCGGAAUUACUGGGCGUAAAGCGCAUGCAGGUGGUUUGUUAAAGUCAGAUGUGAAAAGCCCGGGCUCAAGCCUCGGAAUUGCAUUUGAAAACUGGCAAACUAAGAGUACUGUAGA